rnacentral:tRNA from 1 species
AAGCAUGGCUCAAGUGAUAAAGCAUCUGCCUAGCAAGCACAAGACCCUGAGUUCAAAUCCCAGUACUU